GAAGGGAUCCCUGGAAUGCGCGAGGCCGGGCUGGGGUCGCGGGAGGUGCGCUGGGAUUGGAACUGGACGGGUUCGAGAUCCUUUCCGAGCCAAACGCCAGGAACUGGGAAGGAAAAUGGGGACGGGGAUGGCGCCAAGCUGGGAAUGCUGGAGAAGGGAAGGAUCCAGGGAAUCCUCCGGGCCUAAAGGAGCUCCGGGAGAGCUGGAGAGGGAUUGGGAUGAGGGACGGAGGGACAGGACACAGGGAAUGGGCAAAGGGAGAUUGGGCUGGGAUCUUGGGAAGGAAUUCCUGCCUGCGCUGGAAUUCCCAGGACAUCUGCUCCAUGCCUGGGAUGUCCAAGGUGCUGCCGGAUGAGGAUCCGCGCCCGGAGCUGCCGCUCUUCCCGAGGAUUUGGGAUUUGCAAACAGCUCCCAUCAGCUGGAGCACAACUCAGGCCUGGAUGGAGGUGAAGCCUCAGCUGUGAGCGUGGAAAAAUUCCAGGAACGUGGACGAAAGCAGCGGGAAUCCCGACUCCGGCUGUGUCCAGAGGCGGCUCCUGGCCUGAAUCCUUGGGGAAUUUCUCGUGGAAUUUCUGCUCCUGCUGCUGCUGGAAAACCUUUGGAAAAGGGCUUUUUCUCCCCAAAACAAAACAAAAAAGAAAUCUGGGAUUUAAAAGGAAUUUCUGGGAAUCCAGAGCCGCUUUUUCCUUUGGGAUUUUUUUGGUUUUUUUUUUUUUUCCCAAAGAAAAAUGUGGAUUUUGUUUGCUUGAAGGUGCAGAGAAUUCCUUUUCCUUUUCAUUCUCCAGGGAAUUUAUUCCCUGUUCCGAGCCAAAAUUCCCUGUUUAAAGCUGCUCCCGCCGCUGUUCGUAUUCCAAGGGUUUGGGAAUGAAAGAAAAACCGGGAAUAAAUCUGAAGGGAUAUUUUUAA